CUGGAUGUAAUUUGGGUUUAUCCGUCUCUAGUUAUAGUCAGUGAGGAGGGUUUUGGGAUUUUUAUAUUUGGUGUGAAUUUUUUUAAUUUAUUUUAGAUGUUGGGUAUGUGGGGCUUGGUAAUUUGGAUUUUGAUUUGAUAUGAUUUGGUGCUACUUCCCUUUCUUCUUUCUGUUAUUUGGAUCUGGGUUUGUUAUAGUUUUUUGAACUUCUGCUUGUUCUCUAAGUAUCAAUUUGUCUUCUUCAUUGGAUGCAUUGAUGAUCUGGUGUUGCUUGACUAAUUUCAUUGUGUUUUAACUUCUAAAGUUUUAUCUGUUUGGUAUCUUAAUAAUUCAAUUGAUUUAUGUGCCAUUGUAACAUGCAAUAAGCCAUUCUCACGGUUGUUUGGAGCCUUGACAUUAAACUUCAUUAUGAAUAAUCAAAGAUAUGGUUUUUGAAGAUUUGCUUGAUCUCAUUAUUUUAGUGACAAAUUAAUUACUCUUCAGUGUAAAAUGGCCUCUAUUGUUUUGUUAUACUUGCGAUAAUGAAAGUUGAAGCAAGUUUGGUUCUUGGUUCUCGUCUUUUGUAUUUGCAUUAUAUUGUGAUACAUAUCGUAUUAUCUUCCCUAAUAAUUUGGAUCUAGUUCUUGUAAAUCAAUUGUUUAGCUAUUUCUCUAAUUCAUGUUUAAGUGUUUGAAUAAUUCCUUAGAAGGGAUGCCUUAUAUUUAUAUUUUGCAUUGAGUUUAAUUAAGGAAUCUGAUCUAAAGUGGAGCACCCCUUAUGUAAUUACA
rnacentral:misc_RNA from 1 species